rnacentral:rRNA from 1 species
CCUACGGGGGGCAGCAGUGAGGAAUAUUGGUCAAUGGACGUGAGUCUGAACCAGCCAAGUAGCGUGAAGGAUGACUGUUCUAUGGGUCGUAAACCUCUUUUAUAAAGGAAUAAAACGUGGCACGUGUGCUUUUUUGCAUGUACCUUAUGAAUAAGGAUCGGCUAACUCCGUGCCAGCAGCCGCGGUAAUACGGAGGAUCCGAGCGUUAUCCGGAUUUAUUGGGUUUAAAGGGAGCGUAGAUGGGUUUUUAAGUCAGUUGUGAAAGUUUGCGGCUCAACCGUAAAAUUGCAAUUGAUACUGGCAGUCUUGAGUACGGUUGAGGCAGGCGGAAUGCGUGGUGUAGCGGUGAAAUGCUUAGAUAUCACGAAGAACCCCGAUUGCGAAGGCAGCUUACUAAGCUGUGACUGACGCUGAUGCUCGAAAGUGUGGGUAUCAAACAGGAUUAGAUACCCCAGUAGUC